rnacentral:rRNA from 1 species
AUUGAACGCUGGCGGCAUGCUUUACACAUGCAAGUCGAACGGUAACAGGGAGCUUGCUCCGCUGACGAGUGGCGAACGGGUGAGUAAUGCGUCGGAACGUGCCGAGUAGUGGGGGAUAACGCAUCGAAAGGUGUGCUAAUACCGCAUACGUACUGAGGUAGAAAGUGGGGGACCUUCGGGCCUCACGCUAUUCGAGCGGCCGACGUCUGAUUAGCUAGUUGGUGAGGUAAAGGCUCACCAAGGCGACGAUCAGUAGCGGGUCUGAGAGGAUGAGCCGCCACACUGGGACUGAGACACGGCCCAGACUCCUACGGGAGGCAGCAGUGGGGAAUUUCGGACAAUGGGCGAAAGCCUGAUCCAGCCAUGCCGCGUGUCUGAAGAAGGCCUUCGGGUUGUAAAGGACUUUUGUCGGGGAGGAAAUCCCCAGCGCUAAUACCGCUGGGGGAUGACAGUACCUGAAGAAUAAGCACCGGCUAACUACGUGCCAGCAGCCGCAGUAACAC